rnacentral:rRNA from 1 species
AUGGGGUUCCUUACACACAUGGAAGCGUUCAAUGCAGCAUGCGAAGCAAAAAAGGCUGGGGCCAGGUGCGACGAGAGGCUCGUCAUUCAUCGUGUGACCAACGGCGGGUGCUUUGACGACUUCAAGAAGGCGAUGGACGAGUGCCGCGGCCAUUACAGUCCCGAAACGUCCAAACGCGAUAUUGAGCGAGGCAUCGGCGAGCUCGUGGUGGACGUGGAGGCGUGCGUCAAGGCCACGGCGGCCCUGCGCGAGUGCUUUGCUGGCAACCCCGCAAAGUUCAAGCACCAGUACCUUCGCCGCAUGGACGAGGGCCUCGACCAGGACACGAAGCCGUCGUGGGAGCAGAUUCGGAAAGAGAAAGAUGUAAUGUUCAGGUGGUGGACUCACAUGAGGAGACGUUAA